rnacentral:rRNA from 1 species
UACGGAGGGUGCAAACGUUGCUCGGAAUCAUUGGGCGUAAAGCGCACGUAGGCGGACUGUUAAGUCGGAUGUGAAAUCCCUCGGCUCAACUGAGGAACUGCCUUUGAAACUGUCGGGCUUGAGGCCGGGAGGGGGUAGCGGAAUUCCCAGUGUAGCGGUGAAAUGCGUAGAUACUGGGAGGAACACCAGUGGCGAAGGCGGCUACCUGGACCGGUUCUGACGCUGAUGCGCGAAAGCGUGGGUAGCAAACAGG